CCUAUACCGCAGCUCACAACAACGCCGGAUCCUUCACCCACUGAGCAGGGCCAGGGAUAGAACCUGUGUCCUCAUGGAUACUAGUUGGGUUUGUUAUUGUUAUUGCUGAGUCAUGACGAGCACUCUGAAACCCUCUUUAUGUUUGAUUAUACUGAGUGAGUUUACCUAGUUGAAGGGCAGUUCCUUUUCACUCCUGCCGUGGCAUCUGUGUAGAGAAGGGUGUUUCUCUCUGUGACAGUCCUUCCUGCCAUUUGUCUUCACGUAUGUCUUUUCCAAACAAAGGAUUCAGAGUUUUGCAGGCUCACAGAAACUUCUUCCACUACAAAUCCUCUUCUACCGAACGGCGUUUGACACCUGUUUUUCACUUCUAUUCUUCUCCUAUCCUCCCGUGUGUCAAGGUGACUUCAACUGGAAGGUCUGUACAGGUCAUUAAUUGAGCAAUAGAGAAAAAGUCCAUUGCCAUUUUGGUCCCCAAAUGUCCAGAUGACAUUUUGCAAUUGAAAAAUCUAGAAGGGCACUGGUCUGUAUUCUAAGAUGAAAGGAAAAGGAAGCCGUGUCUGCCCUGGCUGGUGUUCCUGUUUUAAAGAUGAACUGGCAUCUGCUAUUUUUACAGGAAAGGUAAGAAGUUUGUUGGGCCACCAUCCUACCUCAUGUGUGUGAUCCUGAUAACUUCAAAGUCAGUCCUCUCUUCCCUUGAUAGAGGAAUUCAUUUUGCUCCAGGAGAUUAAGUGAGAGAAAAGCUGAGAGGGGAUUCGAAUUUGGGUUUGUCUCUUUACAAAGUUUGGGUUCUUGUAUCUGUCUUCUCUCGUCUCUUCUGUCUGAGAAUAAAUACAGUUAACUGGGGAACUCCUGUCACCGAACGGUGUGCAAGGAUUCAGAGACAAACCACUGAAACCUCUCUCUUUGUCCAGGAAAACCUGAGAGGAUGGAGUUAAAACGGAUCCAAACAGCACAGGCAUUUGAGAACCCGAGAUUUCAAAGCGGGCGCCGACGCACAAGGCAAGAUGAUGUUUACGAUCCAUCACGGGUUCCUGAAACGCUUAAAGGUAAUUAAAGAUAUAAAAAGGAGAGAUGGAAACACAAAACUGUUACAAAUAUACAGCACUGGAAUUGGUUGCUUUUUCCAGACAUUGCAUGACUUGCAGACUCUUGUCUAUUAAAAAAAAAAUGAAUAAAGCAAGUCAAGAGAGAAAGGCAGCUUAGGAAGACAACGAUGCUGUAAAUGUGAAAGCCAUCAAGGGUGGGGACUGGAGGGGAGAGAAGGAAAUGUAGUCGAGGGGGCCUUCAAGAAGGUCCUCCGAAGACAGAAACACGGUCUGGAGUGCUGGGUAAAUCUCACCAUUUUAUGGGCAACAUCCUAGCACAAUAGAAUUCAACUGCAGCCUCUCUCUUGGAGAUUAAUAUCUUUGAUUUGAUUUUGCAGAGAGUGAUGAAUCUGGAAUGGAUGUUUGGCAACACCCUCGAGAAAGCAGUGUUUCUCCUGAUACACCUGCUCUGAUUAUUUGCUCACGUGGCUACACAGAUGAGCCUGCAAGGGACAGAGGAGUCCAGGGUGGCUGGAUCAGGGCAUCUAAUGCAUGGAACCUCUGAAGACUUUGUUUGACCAAAGAGUGUCUUGGCAUUGGUUGGUCUUCUGGUGUUGGUCGUUACCGUGAGGUUUUGAAAGUCACCCCUUCUGCAACAAGGCAUUUCAGGAAAGGAAACAGGAUUCUUGUAUACGGAUGAAUGGGCCUCGAAGAAUCUCAUCAUCUCCGAAGGACUCCUGCCCAUUUAAAGUUUAGAGUCCAUCUUUGGAAAAACUAACGCCCAGUGCAAGUUCCAAACGUAGCUUCCAAAGCUGGACACGUGAAGAAGCAAAGAAGAGGAUGGGAAGGAAGGGUGGAAAGCUUCUGGCUGGAGGCAGUCAGCUUCUGAGAGAGAGGAGGGGUGACAGCCCGAAGCCACGGCCAGGCCAGAUGCCCGCCACCUGGGGAUCACUUCUGAGAAACAUCUCUGGUGGAUGGAUGUGGAAAAAGGAAGAAGAAAGAGGCAGUGGGGGUCUUCUCCCAAGAGCCAUCCAUUUUAAAGCAUGGAGGAGAGGUUUUCUUCACGAUGGAACUCCGGAAAGAAUGAAGACACCACCUCCCCACCUCCAUCCUCACCAAGAAGCAAAGAAACGCACGAUAAGGGAUUCCAAUAGAACUAAAGCUUAAACUAAAGUUCCAAUAGAACUAAAGCUUAAAGGGGGAGCUUAUGGAUAUGGACCCGAUGGGUCUUUACCUGGCUAAAAUCAACCCACCUGAAGAUGGGUAUCUUCUCUGUACGUAAAACAAGGUACACGUCUCACUUAUUUUUCCCUUCCUGAUCAUCAAAAUUUGAAGAGUGAAGGUGGGGAGAAAAAGGUUUUCUCAGUAACUGUUGAGAAUGUGUUUUCUUAGAGCUGUCUUUAAAGGGCCAUUUGCCUCAAGCCUCUCAGGCUCCAUUGUGUGUUGCCUUUGAGCCAGGAAUUCCACCUGCAGCGGCUAGGGAAUGUCUGCAGUGUGCAGAGAUCCAACACCAUCUAGGGGUCAUCGCCUGACUGUCCAUGUCCUCACACACGGGCAACUGAACAGUAAUAAUGCAGAGUUCUCUUGUGGCACCGUGAGCUAAGGAUCCAGUAUGGUCACUGCAGAGACACAGGUUCGAUCCCUGGCCUGGGAAUUUCCACAUGCCGUGUAUGCAGCCUAAGAAAAGUACUAAUCAGAUAAUGAUUUCUUUGCUAUGCCAUUGAAUGGGGAGAACAUAAAGCUGCAGAAGAAAAUAUAUUCUAUAGGAAAUAAGAACCUAUUUUUGUACCAAAAAAAUGAUAUACUUUUGUAUGUCUAUUUUUACACUGACAACAUAAUUCUAUGCCAGAUAAUAAUGAAUAUUCCUAAUACAUGGAUGUAGGAUAUGACUUAACGGCUUUUUUGUUUUUUAAUAUGCAGACACUUUUUUGUCCCAGUAUGCCUAUACCUCUUUGAAAUAAAACAGCACAUUUUCACCGGUUGUGCCAAUGGGCAAGUAAGUUUUGCUGCCAGAUGUGAAAGUUCUAAAACCAUGCAGAGUCCAUGUAGUAGCUGGCAGCUGCCUGUUGAAAAUGUCUCGCUUGACAGCCUUGGGGUGUUUCCUGGUUUUUGUUGUUUUUUUUUUUUUUUUUUUUUUUUUUU